rnacentral:lncRNA from 1 species
GGGGGCAGUGUGGCAUCCGUGGUGCUAGAAUUCAUAGGGCUGAAAGAAAUCAUCAAGAAAGGAGAUAUGAUGCCCAAGAAUGAAGUAGGCCAUUUCAAAACUAUCAAAAUCUUUUUCUAAGAAACUAAGAAAUGUAUCAAGAAACUAAGAAAUGUAUCAAGAACCUCAAGAUUGGAGUUCCUUUGAUGAUGAGUUGCAAGAAAGGCCAUUUUUCAAUCUGAACAGAAGAUUUCGACCUCAGUUUGAUGAAAGAAGGAGAGAACCAACAGAAUACAAGAUGAAAGUUGAUCUUCCAAAGCUACGAUGGCAAACGUAAUAUUGAGAUUUUUCUUGAUUGGUUGAAGAAUACUGAAAUUCUUUCAGUUAUAUGAAUACUCCAGAGGUAAAGAAAGUCCAUUUAGUAGCAUUAAAACUGAAGGUUUGAGCAUCGGCUUGGUGGGAACAACUUGAGGUUAAUGGGCAAAAAAAUGGGAACAAACCUAUUGCCUCAUGGGAGAAAAUGAAAAAAUAAUGAAGACACGUUUCCUUCCUUCCAAUUAUGAGCAAACUCUUUACAAUCAGUACCAUAAUUGCUGGCAAGGAGCAAGAAUAGUUGCUGAUUAUAUAGAGGAAUUUCACCAGUUGGGCGCAAGAACCAAUCUAAUGGAGAAUGAGCAGCACCUUAUUCAGUUGGGCGCAAGAACCAAUCUAAUGGAGAAUGAGCAGCACCUUAUUGCACGGUUUGUACGAGGAUUAAGGUUUGACAUCAAAGAAAAGGUAAAAUUACAACCUUUUUUAAAUCUUGCUGAUGUUAUUACCUAUACAGAAUCCGUUGAAGAAAUUAUUGAAUUGAAUUUGAAGAAAAAUACAAGAAGGGGACCAUGGAACAUUACUUCCAAAUAAGUUGCAAAUCAAUCCUCUAUGACUUGUUAUAACAAAGAUCAAGAGAAGGAUAAAACUAAUGAGACAAAUGGAAAGAAGCAAGCAGAAAAUGCCUAUCAAAGAUCGAAUUUAAGCAAGUGUUUCCACAGUGGUCAAACUGGUCAUCUCUCAAAUGCUUUCCCUAAAAGAAAGACGGUGGCUAUUCUUGAAGAAGAUGAAGAUUAUGUUGAAGAACAAGAAGAGGAUCUCUCUCAAGAAGAAGUAUUAGAACCCGAUGAUGGAGAGAGACUAUCGUGUGCGCUGCAAAGAGUCUUAAUUACUCCAAAAAGUGACACCUCUGACCAGCAAAGGCAUAGCCUUUUCAAGACCCAAUGUAUUAUCCAAGGCAAAGUGUGCAGCAUGAUAUCAUUAACAGCAGCAACAGUAAAAAUUUUGUCUCCAAGAAGCUUGUGGCUGCACUUAAGAUGAAAAUGAAGCCUCAUUCAAGUCCUUACAAGAUUCGGUGGAUCAAGAAAGGUGGUGAUGCCCAAAUAAAUGAGGUUUGUUCAGUCCCUUUAUCAAUUAGAGGGACCUAUAAGGAUCUGAUUGUGUGUGACGUCUUGGAUAUGGAUGUUUGCCAUAUUUUUGGAAGACCAUGACAAUACGAUAUUCAAGCUAUUCAUAAGGGGAGAGAGAACACCUAUGAGUUUCAAUGGAUGAACAAGAAGAUUGUGUUGAUGCCCCUAAGCAGGAAGAAUGAGGAAGUAGUCAAUCAAAAGAAGGCUAAAAGUCAUCUUUUCAUCCCUGUAAGUGGAAAGAAAUUUCUAGAAACCAGAGAAUCUGAUAUUUUGGGACUUGUUAUUGCAGGCCCUCAUACUACAGAAAUUUCCAGCUUGAUUCCAGCAAAGGUGCAAGACCUAUUGAGCCAAUUUCAACCUAUAAUGGAGGAGCCUUCUAAAUUGCCUUCCCUUUAGACAUCCAACACGUUAGUGAUUUGAUACCUGGCUCAUCUCUUCCCAACCUUGCUCAUUACAGAAUGAAUCCUAAGGAGUAUGAGUUCUUACACCAGCACAUUGAAGAUUUGUUGACAAAAGGGCAUAUUCAGACAGCACCAACCCUUGUGUCGUACCAGCUCUAUUAACUCCAAAGGAUGGCAGCUGGAGGAUGUGUGUAGGUAGUCGAGCCAUCGACAAAAUUAUGGUCAAGUAUCGUUUUCCUAUUCCAAGAAUUAAUGAUCUCCUUGAUCAAUUUGGAUGAGCUCUUAUUUUUUCAAAGGUAGACCUAAGAAGCGGAUAUCAUCAAAUUAAAAUAAGGUCGGAAGAUGAGUGGAAGAAGACCUUCAAGACUAAUGAGGGGUUAUUCGAAUGGUUAGUGAUGUCUUUUGACUUAUCAAAUGCCCCAAGUACCUUUAUGCGGUUGAUGCACCAAAUGCUACAUUUAUUCUUAAACAAAUUCAUAGUAGUCUACUUUGAUGAUAUCAUAAUCUAUAGCAAGAAUGACCAAGAUCAUAUGCAGCAUCUGAAGUUAGUUUUUGAAGCCCUUCAAAAGAGUAAGUUGUUCAUUAAUUUGAAGAAAUGUAUUUUUUGCACGGAAGAAAUAUCUUUCUUAGGUUUUAUUAUAUCUGAAAAUCAAGUGAAGAUGGAUGAAAACAAGGUGGAAGCUGUAACUAAUUGGUUGAUUCCUAAAUCAUAAAGGAGAUUCAAGCUUUUAUGGGGUUAGCAUAUUUUUACAGGAAGUUUAUUAAGAACUUUAGUUCUAUAACAGCUCCUAUGACUGAUUGUUUGAAGAAGGGAGCCUUUUAUUGGGGAGAAAAACAGCAGCACAAUUUUGACUCCCUUAAAAGAAAGUUUGCCAGCCAACUAAUCCUCAAUUUACCAGAGUUUGACAACCCUUUCGAAGUGGCAAUAGACGCCAGUGGUGUGGAAAUUGGUGUUGUCCUUUCCCAAGGAGGUCAUCUGGUAGAAUUCUUUAGUGAAAAAUUGAGUCAUUCUAGACAAAACUGGAGAACAUAUGAGCAUAAACUUUAUUCACUUGUUAGGGCCUUAAAACAGUGGGAGCACUACUUAUUAUCUAAGGAUUUUGUUUUGCUCACUGAUCAUUUCUCCUUGAAGCAUCUCCAGGCACAAAAAAACAUUAACAAAAUGCAUGCUAGAUGGGUAUCUUAUAUCCAAAGAUUUUAUUUCUUAAUCAAGCAUCAAGCGAGCAAAGAAAACAGAGUUGUAGAUGCCUUAAGCAUAAAAGAGACUCUCCUCAUUGUGCUCUCAACUGAAAUUACAACCUUUAACCAUCUUCCAACACUAUAUGAGACUGAUGAAGACUUUGGUGAGACUUGGAGUCAUUGUACUCAUUUCCAUGAUCGAGAUUAUCAUUUGGUGGAAGGUUUUCUCUUUAAAGGAGACCAACUAUGCAUUCCACAUACUUCCUUAAGGGAAGCCCUAAUAAAAGAUGCUCAUUCGGGAAGCCUAGCUGGACACUUUGGCCAAGGAAAGACUUUUCAAAUUAUCAUCAAGAGGUUUUAUUGGCCUCAGGCUAGAAGAGACAUUAAUAACUUUGUGAAAAAAUGUCCUAUUUUUCAAAGAGCAAAAGGAUCUUCAUCUAAUGUUGGUCUCUACACUCCUCUACCGAUUCCUAAAAACGUAUGGGAGGAUUUGUCAAUUGAUUUCGUAGUGGGUCUACCUAAGAUUCAAAGGGGAUUUAACUCAGUUAUGGUUGUGGUGGACAGAUUCAGCAAGAUGUCUCACUUCUUCCCUUGUAAAAAAAUCACAGACACAGUGCACAUUGCCACUCUCUUCUUUAGGGAGAUUGUUAGACUACACAUGGCAUCCCAAAAACAAUAGUUUCGGACCAAGAUACUAAAUUUCUUAGCCAUUUUUGGAAGACAUUGUGGAAGAAGUUUGACACCACCUUGAAGUUUAGUACCACUGCUCAUCCACAAAUGGAUGGACAAACUGAGGUAACUAACCGGUCCUUGGAAAAUUUAAUUCGCUACCUUAGUGGAAACCAUCCUAGACAAUGGGACAUAGUUCUCUCAUAGGCAGAAUUUUCUUUAACAAAAUGAUGAAUAGAACCACGAGCAAAUGCCCCUUUGAGAUCGUGUACACCAAGGCACCAAGGUUGACAUUCGACCUAACUAGCCUUCCUAAGGAAAUGGAAAUCCAAGAGGAAGCUGAACAGUUAGCUGAAAGAAUACAGAAACUUCACACAGAAGUCAUUGACCAUAUCACUAAAACUAUUGAGUCUUACAAAGAAGAGAAGAAUAAGAAGCGAAAGGAAGUACAUUUCCAAGUUGGAGAUCUUGUAAUGGCACAUUUGAAGAAGAAGAGGUUCCCCAUUGGAACCUAUGGAAAGAUAAAGGACAAGCAUAUUGACCUAUGUAGAAUACUUGCUAAAUAUGAGCCAAAUGCUUAAAAAAUUGAACUACCGCACAGAUUUAACAUCAGCCCAAUCUUCAAUGUAGCAGACCUUAGAAGCUACUAUGCACCAGAUGAAUUUCAGCUUUCAUAGCAAACUCGGGGCAAGUUUGAUGUUCGGGGAGUAGAAUGGUGUAAAUCAAAUAAGCCUAAAUCUACUCAAUGAUCUAUGCUUUCUAGUUUUCUAUUAUAUUUAAAUCUACUACUUUCUAAUUUUUAUAUUUUAAUUUUAAGAUUUAUUAUUAAUAGAUUGUUAGUUACUAUCUAUUUUUCCUACAAAUAAAGUACAUCCUCUCACAUUGAGAGUAGGAUAUUCAUACAAAAUAUAAAAAAAAAAACUCUUUGGUUUCACACCAUGUUGAUACACUUGUUAUCAUUUGCUUAUACACUUAUUGUGUUUUGUUCAUACACUUGGUGGAUUUAAUGCACUCAAUAAGUUUGAUACACUUAAUACACUAGUGAUAAACAUUCUAUACUUCAUCAAUACACUCAACAAAUUGCCAACAUAAGUUUAGCUCAAUUGGCAUUUGUAUGUUCCUGUAAUUUGAUGUCUUGGAUGUAUUUUGGUACAAUAUUUUGGUACAAUCCCUACCCCAGCAUUUAUUACAAUAGCUUUGCAAAAAAAAAAAAAUACACUCAACAAAUUUAAUACACUUUAUACAAUUCAUAUACACUCAACAAAUUUAAUACACUUUAUACAAUUCAUAUAAUUUGAUACCUUGGAUGUAUUUUGGUACAAUUUUCUGUACAUGUUCAUAAUAUUUUAAAACCGUUUUCAAAUGUAUUGUGUGUUGAUCUAAUAGUCUUGUACAGUUGUCCAACAACAGUUUCAUAAAUAUAUAUAUGAUCAACAAUAUUCAUCAAAUAUAGUUUCAAAGCUCUAUGUAUUGUGUGCUGAUCUAAUAGUCUUAUAUAGUUGUCCAGCAAAUUUAAUACACUUUAUACAAUUCAUAUAAUUUGAUGCCUUGGAUGUAUUUUGGUACAAUUUUCUGUACAUGUUCAUAAUAUUUUAAAACCGUUUUCAAAUGUAUUGUGUGUUGAUCUAAUAGUCUUGUACAGUUGUCCAGCAACAGUUUCAUAAAUAUAUAUAUGAUCAACAAUAUUCAUCAAAUAUAGUUUCAAAGCUCUAUGUAUUGUGUGCUGAUCUAAUAGUCUUAUAUAGUUGUCCAGCAACAGUUUCAUAAGUAUAUAUAUGAUCAACAAUAUUCAUCAAAUAUAGUUUCAAAGCUUUAUACAAUCAAUUCCAAGACUUUACAUAGAUAUGAAUAUUCCAUUAGAUUGCCAUGAAUCUAACUCAACUUAAAAAGUCAGAAAACAGACUAGCUAUAAUAAAUCUAAUCAAAAGUAUACCAAUCAACCCCUCCCCCCUUCCUCCAUAUGAACAAUUCAAAAGAAUUAUCAAAUUAUUGGUCACAAUCAUAUGUACGAACCCAGGAAGUGAGCUAACUCAACCGCAAAAUAAAUUAAAUGAUUUAACUCACACUAUACAAAUAAACCAAUUAACUCACAAAAGAAAUAGUUUGAUAUAUAACAUACUGCAUCAGAUAUGACUACUUCCCCUCGUCACAAUUUCUCUCAUAUACCUACAGUAGAUCGAUCGGAUAUUGGUUCAUGACCUAAUAAAAACACAAUAGUUUUUAAGAGUUUGUACGAGUUUGAUAUCAAACUAAGGCAACAAAUAUAACCUUUCUAGAUGCAAAAAACUUUAAAUACAACACAUGAUAUCUUUUAAAAGAGCUAAAGGUAAUUCACAUCAUAAAGUAACCUUGUUUAUUUGCUUCUCAGUCUAGCUCAAAGUAUUUGUAUGAGUUUGCUAUCAAACCAAGGCAACAAAUAUAACCGUUCUAAAUGCAAGAACUUUAAAUACAACACAUAAUACUUUUAAAAAAAACUAAAGGCAAUUCACAUCAUAAAGUAACCUAUAGUUUAGUUGAGAAAAUGACUUUACCUAGAGAUCAGCUACGUAGCACAUAUCCAAAGGAAUUUUCCUAUCUUAUUUGCAUUGUUCUAACCUAUUAGGUUAUAGUCGUGCAAGUUUCCUUGUAUGUUUUCUUGAUGUGUUAGAUAAACAAAGGACACCCAAGAGCACACAAGAGAUCAAAUUUCACAAAUGAGAAAAUGUGAGAGAUUAAUUUUACUACUUCUAAAUGACAAAAAAGUCAGAAAUCACAUGAAAGAACCAAAAGGUCAACCAGCUCAACUUGCACCCCGUCCAACUCGAUCGAUAAGUAUGAUCUUCGUGUGUCAAUCUAUAUACCAAUAAACAUGCAAAAUAAAUGAAUUAACUUAUAAUCCAAAAAGAUCAAUUAACUCAAGUCUCAACGAAUUAAAUGAUUCAUACCUUUUAUGGGUUAUACCAUUACAAAUCCUUUAAAAGAGAUACUUCAAGAGUUUUAUGGGUUAUAUAUGAGAAAAAAAGAGAAAAAAAAAAAGAAAAAAAAACAGAAACAAAAGGAAGAAAGGUAGAUAAAAUUGACCUUGAGUAGUAGUUGAUGGACCGGUAAACUUAGGCCAAGAACAUGUGUAUUAGCUAGGCAAAGAAAGUUAACUAAUAAUAAAAUAAGAAAAACAAAGCACGCAGUCAAUUAUAACGUUUUCAUACAACAUUUAACUAAUAAUAAUUCACUCUUAUGUUUGUUCAUACUCAAGUCAAUAUCACAUUUAAUUAAGCAAAAGAAGUACCUAAAAUUGCUCUACCCAUCAAACUAUAUUUAGCUUUAUCAACCUCUUCCCUUGUCUUUCACCCUCAUCAUUAAAAUGUGUUAUGUGAUAAUUUAAAAGUAAAUUGACUAAUUAAUUAACUAUCAAUGUAUUAAGAUUAUAUAUAAUUAUUAUAACUACACGAUAAUCAUAACACUUCAACACUUGAUCUAAUAAUCCAAGCCUUUAAAACUAGAGUUUAAGAAAGAAUGUAUUACCUUCCACUAUAUAAAAUAUUGUAAUAAAGCACAUCGAAGAUUUGUAUUUAGGAGUAGUUAAUCAAAUUCACAAAAAUAAAAAAAUAAAAUAUCUAAACUUAAUCUAAUACAUGAAAAUAGGAACUGAAUAUCAAAAGAAAACAAAUCUACAAUUUAUUACAUGGUAGACAGAUUUUUAAACUAAACCCAUUCAAUUUCUAAAUAUAGUCAAAACAACUGGUUUUAUAGAGAAAUAGUAGAAAAAUCAAGCAACAAUAAAAGGAGACUGAUGAUGACUUGGCUCUACAAGCUGACGUCCAAAUGGAAAUAUUUCCAUCAAAACUUUUCAAACUUAAACCAAAUCCAAACUUUUGCUCGACCAUAGCUUUCUCCCUCUUUUCAUUUUCAAAGUUUAUUUCUAACAUUUUUGCAAAAUUUUGAUCAAAUAAUGUGAAGUAGCACCCUAAAUUCCACAACCCGUGUUUUGGAUAAAUGCCCGAUAUCACAUAUGAUGAAAUUGUUUUAUACAAUGUAAUCUAAAAUAGUCAUAGCAUUUAGUCAACUUAUACCUCAACGCUUGUGGUGUAAAGACUGCCAACAAAUUAAACUUCUCCAUCUUACUCUUCUUGCCCUUGAUAACAAGAACCGUCAGGUAUUCUUCAUAUAUCUGUAUAUACAAUUCCAAUAUCUCAAGAACUUGAAACAAAAGUAACCUUUAAAUAUAUUUACCAAAUUUCACAAGAGAUCAAAUUUCACAAUUUGAAUUAGUUCUGAAUCUAAAGCAACUGAAGAAAAACAGGAUUGAUGAGGGCUUGAAGGAGGAAAAACAAAGAGGGGAAGUAGGGUUAUACCUUGAAGGACAAUCUUGCAACAUAGCCAAGGCAUUGAGCCUCUUUGUAGAAGAAAUCGAGUGCUCCUACUCUACUCAUUGAGAGAGGAAAAUUACAUUUUUAUAAAGGGAUUCAACAGGAUGAGAUCUGACAAGAUCGCUUUUCACGCCUUGAAGUCCUAAUCGACAGACGAAGAGUGAGAUUUUCGGAGUGCUGGCUUGCCACAGCUGGGCGUUAGAGCAUAAGACCAAAGAAGGGAAAAAUCGUUGGAGGCGAUCUGUUCUUGCAAUGGUGGAUUUGUGGGUCGUCGUCAGUUGUAGAAGGGAGAACCACUGGGAACUCGUAUUCGUCAUCGUGGUCGAUGUUCGCUGUCAGUCAUGGAGCUUCAUCAUUAAAGGAGAAAUUGUAAUGGUCAUCGGAAGUGUUAGGGACAGCGGAUUAGAGGCUACGUUUUCAAAGGACGGAAGUGAAGGGAUUUCGAAUGGAAGGAUUUCGUUUUUGAAGGAUACUGCUGAAGCGUCUUAGGGCCUUUUAGAAAACCAAUAUUCCAUGCGUUUUC